rnacentral:rRNA from 1 species
UACGUAGGGGGCGAGCGUUGUCCGGAUUUAUUGGGCGUAAAGAGCUCGUAGGCGGUUUGGCAAGUCGGGGGUGAAAACUCCGGGCUCAACUCGGAGACGCCACUCGAUACUGCCAUGACUCGAGUCCGGUAGGGGAGUGCGGAAUUCCUGGUGUAGCGGUGAAAUGCGUAGAUAUCUGGAGGAACACCGGUGGCGAAGGCGGCAUCCUGGACCGACACUGACGCUGAUGAGCGAAAGCCAGGGGAGCAAACGGG